rnacentral:lncRNA from 1 species
UAUUUAUAAGAGGUAAAAAAAUAUCGUAAUAUAUAUUAUUUUAAUAUUUUAUUAAUUUUUAUAAUAUUUUGAUCAAAAUAAAUUGAAAAAAAAAAUUCAGCAGCAUCGAGUGCCUUCUCCCUGUUAAUUCAAUACGUGGUAUAAUCUGAUAAAAUAAUGCAUUUUUUUUCCACCGUGGACAGCGUGCAAAGAAUUUAUGGGGCCAC